rnacentral:rRNA from 1 species
UACGUAGGGUGCGAGCGUUGUCCGGAAUUAUUGGGCGUAAAGAGCUCGUAGGCGGUGUGUCACGUCGUUCGUGAAAACCUGCAGCUUAACUGUGGGCGUGCGGUCGAUACGGGCAUCACUGGAGUUCGGCAGGGGAGACUGGAAUUCCUGGUGUAGCGGUGAAAUGCGCAGAUAUCAGGAGGAACACCGGUGGCGAAGGCGGCGACCUGGGUCGACACUGACGCUGAGGCGCGAAAGCGUGGGGAGCAAACAGG